rnacentral:rRNA from 1 species
UACGUAGGGCGCAAGCGUUGUCCGGAAUUAUUGGGCGUAAAGAGCGUGUAGGCGGUUAUACAGGUCCGCUGUGAAAACUGGAGGCUUAACCUCCAGACGUCGGUGGAAACCGUAUAACUAGAGUCCGGAAGAGGAGAGUGGAAUUCCUGGUGUAGCGGUGAAAUGCGCAGAUAUCAGGAAGAACACCCGUGGCGAAGGCGGCUCUCUGGGACGGUACUGACGCUGAGACGCGAAAGCGUGGGGAGCGAACAGG